ACACGCAUGACACACUGCAUAUCAAUAAGCGGAGGAAAAGAAACUAACAAGGAUUCCCUUAGUAACGGCGAGUGAAGCGGGAAGAGCUCAAAUUUGAAAUCUUCAAGGUUCUACCUUGACGAAUUGUAGUUUAUAAGAAGUGUUUUCUGUUAGUAGGAGUGGCAAAAGUCCUUUGGAAUAGGACAUCAUAGAGGGUGAGAAUCCCGUAUUUGGUCAUUCCUCCUAGCUUUGUGAUACACUUUCAACGAGUCGGAUUGUUUGGGAAUGCAGUCCAAAAUGGGUGGUAAAUUUCAUCUAAAGCUAAAUAUUGGCGAGAUGACCGAUAGCGAACAAGUACCGUGAGGGAAAGAUGAAAAGAACUUUGAAAAGAGAGUUAAACAGUACGUGAAAUUGUCAAAAGGGAAGCGUUUGACAUCCAGUGUUGUUUUUCCGAAAAUCAAUUACGAAUGUUUUAGUUUUUGAGAAGUUAUGACUUCAUCGGCUUGCUCCUUUCUUUAUGAAACUUUCUUAAUGCACUUUUCGGUUAACAAGUCAACAUCAAUUUCUUUUGUUGUAAAAGAGUAUUGGGAAGGUGACUUUCUUUUCGGAGAAAGUGUUUAUAGCCCGUUACUUCUGCAAUCGGAGAGAUUGAGGUCUGCAGCGUAGAUCCUUCGGGGUUAGAUACAUUUGUGCUAAGUUAUAGCUUUUCAUAGACAACUUGUUGAUUAUGUUAAGUCUUGUAGCUUACUCGCUUAUGCUAUUUUACCUACGCUUAGGAUGUUGACGCAUGAGAUAUACGC
rnacentral:rRNA from 1 species